GAUGAACGCUGGCGGCGUGCCUAAUACAUGCAAGUCGAGCGAAUGGAUUAAGAGCUUGCUCUUAUGAAGUUAGCGGCGGACGGGUGAGUAACACGUGGGUAACCUGCCCAUAAGACUGGGAUAACUCCGGGAAACCGGGGCUAAUACCGGAUAACAUUUUGAACCGCAUGGUUCGAAAUUGAAAGGCGGCUUCGGCUGUCACUUAUGGAUGGAUCCGCGUCGCAUUAGCUAGUUGGUGAGGUAACGGCUCACCAAGGCAACGAUGCGUAGCCGACCUGAGAGGGUGAUCAGCCACACUGGGACUGAGACACGGCCCAGACUCCUACGGGAGGCAGCAGUAGGGAAUCUUCAGCAAUGGACGAAAGUCUGACGGAGCAACGCCGCGUGAGUGAUGAAGGCUUUCGGGUCGUAAAACUCUGUUGUUAGGGAAGAACAAGUGCUAGUUGAAUAAGCUGGCACCAUGACGGUACCUAACCAGAAAGCCACGGCUAACUACGUGCCAGCCGCCGCAGUAA
rnacentral:rRNA from 1 species